AUUUUGGACAAUGGGGGCAACCCUGAUCCAGCCAUGACGCGUGUAUGAUGAAGGCUUUCGGGCUGUAAAGUACUUUUGGCAGAGAAGAAAAGGUAUCCCCUAAUACGGGAUACUGCUGACGGUAUCUGCAGAAUAAGCACCGGCUAACUAUGUGCCAGCAGCCGCGGUAAUAAGUAGGGUGCAAGCGUUAAUCGGAAUUACUGGGCGGAAAGCGUGUGUAGGCGGUUCGGAAAGAAAGAUGUGAAAACCCAGGGCUCAACCUUGGAACUGCAUUUUUAACUGCAGAGCUAGAGUAUGUCAGAUGAGGGUAGAAUUCCACGUGUAGCAGUGAAAUGCGUAGAUAUGUGGAGGAAUACCGAUGGCGAAGGCAGCCCCCUGGGAUAAUACUGACGCUCAGACACGAAAGCGUGGGGAGCAAACAGG
rnacentral:rRNA from 1 species